CUUAUCUAUGGCUUAAUAUUUGAAGUAUGAAUUUAAUUAUUUUUAAUAUUUUAUUUUAUUAUUUCCUACAUAAUACAGUUGUUUGGCUUAAAAAAUUUAAUAUAUUUAAUAUAAAAAUUGUUAUGACGAUAAACAAAAUCAGACAUAAGUGACUUAUUUAAAUCCAAUAUAGUGUACUCUCGAUCAACAAUCAAAAAUUAUAUGAUGAAGGUAUAUGAUAUACUUUCGAUGCGAUAAAAUGAAUAGAAAUGAGAAAUGAAAUGAAAUGAACAGAAAUGAGUCGUUUAAGCUCCAGUUUGUAAGUAUGAGUGUAUUGUAAUGUUUGGCCUACAAUCGAAUUGGAUGAUGGAAGACCUAGUUAGAUAGGUUGGGUCGAACACGACAAACGCGUACUGUACCUAACCGUCGGUAACCAAACCGGUCGAGUCCGCCGUUAAUCCGCACGCUCGCCACUUUUCCGUAUCGGGCGAACGUUUACUGCAAGUGCUCUUCCGUCGUGGAGCCCGUCAAGCGGCCGACGAACAGGUGACAAUCGUGCACCGAUGCGCCGCCGGUCAUCCACACGCGCCGGUGGCGGUGGCGACGUCUGCGAAUGCUGUUGCGACUGUGGCCGACCACGGCGAACGACCCGGCAAGAUAGAGUCCACAAACGAUUGGGCGAACCGUUCAAUAGUCGCCAUCGCCAACAACUGGCCGGACGCGCACCGAAUCGUCUCCACCGACUGGACGACCAGCGAUCGGCAGUCACAGAACCUAACCUAACCUGGCUGGUCUCCGGUGUCCGUUCUCAAGCAGCUGUGACAGUAGUUGGCGUUUAAACGCCAGACGUUUUCUUACAGUUGUACCACACCGUGUAGUAUUGUCCGACCAGCUCGAGGCCGACCGCGGAUUCAUUUCAGCAUUUGACCUUGGCUCGUCUCGAACCCGAGACCAUCGCCGCCUCCGUUUUUUCCUUCUCGUCGGCCCUCGGUUUUGAUUUGCUUUAAUCAAGUGUAAUUAUAAUCCUAAAUUGAUUUACACACUAUCCUAGAGUUUCUCUAAUUGCUGAGAAUUUAUGUUUUAUUAUUGAUAUUAUAUUUAUCUUACAUCGUA